rnacentral:rRNA from 1 species
UACGGAGGGGGCUAGCGUUGUUCGGAAUUACUGGGCGUAAAGCGCACGUAGGCGGCUUUGUAAGUUAGAGGUGAAAGCCCGGGGCUCAACCCCGGAAUUGCCUUUAAGACUGCAUCGCUAGAAUUGUGGAGAGGUGAGUGGAAUUCCGAGUGUAGAGGUGAAAUUCGUAGAUAUUCGCAAGAACACCAGUGGCGAAGGCGGCUCACUGGCUCGGUACUGACGCUGAGGUGCGAAAGCGUGGGGAGCAAACGGG